AUUGAACGCUGGCGGCAUGCUUUACACAUGCAAGUCGAACGGUAGAGGGGGCAACCCCUUGAGAGUGGCGAACGGGUGAGUAAUGCAUCGGAACGUGCCCAGUCGUGGGGGAUAACGCAGCGAAAGCUGUGCUAAUACCGCAUACGACCUCUGGAUGAAAGCGGGGGACCGAAAGGCCUCGCGCGAUUGGAGCGGCCGAUGUCAGAUUAGGUAGUUGGUGGGGUAAAGGCUCACCAAGCCAACGAUCUGUAGCUGGUCUGAGAGGACGACCAGCCACACUGGGACUGAGACACGGCCCAGGCUCCUACGGGAGGCAGCAGUGGGGAAUUUUGGACAAUGGGCGCAAGCCUGAUCCAGCAAUGCCGCGUGCAGGAAGAAGGCCUUCGGGUUGUAAACUGCUUUUGUACGGAACGAAAAGGCCUGGGUUAAUACCCUGGGCACAUGACGGUACCGUAAGAAUAAGCACCGGCUAACUACGUGCCAGCCGCCGCAGUAA
rnacentral:rRNA from 1 species